rnacentral:rRNA from 1 species
UACGGGGGGAGCAAGCGUUGUUCGGAUUUACUGGGCGUAAAGGGCGCGUAGGCGGCCACCGCAAGUCAGUUGUGAAAUCUCUGGGCUUAACCCAGAAAGGUCAACUGAUACUGCGGGGCUAGAGUGCAGAAGGGGCAACUGGAAUUCUCGGUGUAGCGGUGAAAUGCGUAGAUAUCGAGAGGAACACCUGCGGCGAAGGCGGGUUGCUGGGCUGAUACUGACGCUGAGGCGCGAAAGCCAGGGGAGCGAACGGG